UACGUAGGGGGCAAGCGUUGUCCGGAAUCAUUUGGGCGUAAAGCGCGUGUAGGCGGCUCGAUAAGUCCGCUCUGAAAGUCCAGGGCUCAACCCUGGGAUGCGGGUGGAUACUGUCGGGCUCGAGUCCGGAAGAGGCGAGUGGAAUUCCCGGUGUAGCGGUGAAAUGCGUAGAGAUCGGGAGGAACACCAGAGGCGAAGGCGGCGACCUGGACAGGUACUGACACUCAACUACGAAAGCGUGGGGAGCAAACAGG
rnacentral:rRNA from 1 species